UGUAUCAUCACUUCCGUAAGUUAACAACAAUUAUGGCUGUUCGGUGGCACUUAAACACUUGAGAAGAAGAAAUUUAAGUAAGACAACAUUGCAAGAGGUAAAAAAAUGGCUCUAUAAAAGGACUCUGGACACUAAAGUACAACGUUUUAUAAAGUCAAGACUCUGCCAUUGAUUGAGAAGCAGGCUAAAAGUGGGUCACGGGGGUGCUGGAGCCUAUCCCAGAGCCUAUCCCGGAGUACCCGGAGAAAACCCACGCAUGCACAGGGAGAACGCGCAAACUCCACACAGAGAUGGCCGAGGGCGGAAUUGAACCCGGGUCCAGGUUUUUUCAUUGGCUGCAGCGUGGCCUUGGAGAAAAGAUCUUCAAACUCUUGAGUGUCAAUGACAUCCGGCUCCUCCAGGCAGCCCCACAAUGUGUUGUUGCUGGAAAGAAAACAUCCCGCUGUUAGUUUGUGAUGUAUUUUCACAGAACAACAGUUCCAUCAACUUGAAGAUGUCAGUCCUCCAGCUUUGGCCGGGACUGGUGAGAGAGUGUGGACCACAACUCGGCCACCCCACCCCACUAAUUCAGCCAUGGAAAUACAAGGUCAUAAAGUUGAACGCCUGGCACUCAUGAAGCAGCAACCACAACCACAGUAAAUGGGCUGGAUAAUCCACUUACAGAUACACACUUUUAGGAGUAGAAUGGAAUGGUGCCGAGGCAAACACAUUGAUGUGGAUGAAGUGAACUGCUCACUUGAUUGCAGUAUUUUACUGCUGAAAACCAUCAACAUGUUGGAAUCAGUAUAAAAAAAUAAGUAAUAUUUAGCAUAAAGUCUUAUGUAGGGUCAUUGAUUUAAAGUUACUCAGGUUUAUAUAUGACGUCAUCAAUGUUUUAUAACACAAUUCAUAUAUUAAAUUGCUGAUUUUUUAAGUGGCUUCACAACACUGAAACUAUCAUUAUAAUGACAUGAUACCUGCCUCUAAAUAUAAUCAUAAAAUAGUAAAUAUAAAUUUAUAGAUAUUUAUUUUGGCCCCAUAAAGGUCUGCUACUUCAUGUGUAUUGUGUGACACAUACUUAUCGUCAUAUAUUUGUAUCCUGGUCCAGUACAAAGGCUUCAUGGGACAGCCUGGUUCAAUACUAGGCUUCCGAGGGGCCUUGUCCAACAUAUGACUGAGAUCGAACCCCCCCAUGGGUGGAGGAGGCGGGGGGCCGCAGCCUGG